CCAACAGGGAUUGCCCCAGUAACGGCGAGUGAAGCGGCAACAGCUCAAAUUUGAAAUCUGGCUCUCGGGCCCGAGUUGUAAUUUGUAGAGGAUGCUUUUGGCGCGGUUCCUUCUGAGUUCCCUGGAAUGGGACGCCAUAGAGGGUGAGAGCCCCGUCCGGUCGGAUACCAAGCCUUUGUAAAGCUCCUUCGACGAGUCGAGUAGUUUGGGAAUGCUGCUCAAAAUGGGAGGUAAAUUUCUUCUAAAGCUAAAUACCGGCCAGAGACCGAUAGCGCACAAGUAGAGUGAUCGAAAGAUGAAAAGUACUUUGAAAAGAGGGUUAAAUAGUACGUGAAAUUGUUGAAAGGGAAGCGCUUGUGAUCAGACUUGCGCCUGGUAAAUCAUCUAGCGUUCUCGCUAGUGCACUUUGCCGGCUCAGGCCAGCAUCAGUUUGCCGUUGGGGAUAAAAACUUUGGGAACGUAGCUCUCUUCGGGGAGUGUUAUAGCCCGCUGUAUAAUACCUUUCGGCGGACUGAGGUACGCGCUCCGCAAGGAUGCUGGCGUAAUGGUCAUCAGCGACCCGUCUUGAAACACGGACCAAGGAGUCAACCUUAUAUGCGAGUGUUUGGGUGUUAAACCCCUACGCGGAAUGAAAGUGAACGUAGAUGAGAGCUUCGGCGCAUCAUCGACCGAUCCUGAUGUUCUCGGAUGGAUUUGAGUAAGAGCAUAUAGGGUUGGACCCGAAAGAAGGUGAACUAUGCGUGUAUAGGGUGAAGCCAGAGGAAACUCUGGUGGAGGCUCGCAGCGGUUCUGACGUGCAAAUCGAUCGUCAAAUAUGCGCAUGGGGGCGAAAGACUAAUCGAACCUUCUAGUAGCUGG
rnacentral:rRNA from 1 species